rnacentral:rRNA from 1 species
GACGAACGCUGGCGGCGUGCUUAACACAUGCAAGUCGAACGGAAAGGCCCUGCUUUUGUGGGGUGCUCGAGUGGCGAACGGGUGAGUAACACGUGAGUAACCUGCCCUUGACUUUGGGAUAACUUCAGGAAACUGGGGCUAAUACCGGAUAGGAGCUCCUGCUGCAUGGUGGGGGUUGGAAAGUUUCGGCGGUUGGGGAUGGACUCGCAGCUUAUCAGCUUGUUGGUGGGGUAGUGGCUUACCAAGGCUUUGACGGGUAGCCGGCCUGAGAGGGUGACCGGCCACAUUGGGACUGAGAUACGGCCCAGACUCCUACGGGAGGCAGCAGUGGGGAAUAUUGCACAAUGGGCGGAAGCCUGAUGCAGCAACGCCGCGUGCGGGAUAACGGCCUUCGGGUUGUAAACCGCUUUCGCCUGUGACGAAGCGGGAGUGACGGUAAUGGGUAAAGAAGCACCGGCUAACUACGUG